rnacentral:tRNA from 1 species
GGGGAUGUAGCUCAGGGUAGAGCACUUGCCUACCAUGCAUGAGGCCCAGGGUUCAGUUCCCAGUACCG